CCCUUAGAUGUUCUGGGCUGCACGCGCGCUACACUGAAGCGUUCAACGAGUAUUCACCUUGCCCGGGAGGGUUGGGUAAUCUUUUGAAAACGCUUCGUGAUGGGGAUAGAUUAUUGCAAUUAUUAAUCUUCAACGAGGAAUUCCUAGUAAGCGCGAGUCAUCAGCUCGCGUUGAUUACGUCCCUGCCCUUUGUACACACCGCCCGUCGCUACUACCGAUUGAAUGGUUUAGUGAGGACUCCUGAUCGGCGCCGCCGCGCCGGCAACGGAGCAGCGGACUGCCGAAAAGUUGUUCAAACUUGAUCAUUUAGAGGAAGUAAAAGUCGUAACA
rnacentral:rRNA from 1 species